rnacentral:rRNA from 1 species
UACGUAGGGUGCAAGCGUUGUCCGGAAUUAUUGGGCGUAAAGAGCUCGUAGGCGGUCUGUCGCGUCGGCUGUGAAAACCCGGAGCUCAACUCCGGGCCUGCAGUCGAUACGGGCAAACUGGAGUGUUGCAGGGGAGACUGGAAUUCCUGGUGUAGCGGUGAAAUGCGCAGAUAUCAGGAGGAACACCGGUGGCGAAGGCGGGUCUCUGGGCCGAUACUGACGCUGAGGAGCGAAACCGUGGGGAGCGAACAGG